CAUCAAUAUAUGUCAGAUUGUUUUUAGAUUGAAGCUCGCAGAAAAACCAAAGGACAACCAAGAAGUGUGUGCAAUCGAUGAGGAAGUGAGAACUUGGGCCAGGACAAAGUAGAGGAGCAAGUUCGCUGCUGGUAACCUCGUUUAUUAUGUCAUCGGGACAGCGAGCGGGGAAACCAUUUCGAGCGCUCUGCGGGAGGUGCCAAUGGGUUGGUGGGUGGUGCAGCACCCACAGGUGAUUGGGCAGGUGUGCAAAAAGGACGAAGGCACGUGCUCGGUGCAGAGGCGCAAAAGAGUGCGCACGACCAAACCGCGCGGAGGAAAAGUUUCGCUGGUGGAAUGCCGUUGGAGACCCACUGGAAUGCAGCGGGUCGCAUCGGGGUCUCCAACUUGCUGGGCCGGGAUCGGGUGCGCCGGAAUCGUAACUGUAAACUUAUGCAACUGGGCAACUGAGCUUGUUUAGAUUUAUAAGCUGCCACUGUCCGUGGAUGGGCUUUGUCCGGUGGGCGGUCGCUGGUAAAAUGCAUUGAAGGUAAAAGUUCAGUGCGGAGUUGAUGCUUCCUAUCAGCGAGCUGCAGAUAUUGAAGUUAGCCUCCUCCUGCAGACAUACACAAUGAAGUUUCUGAUUGGGGCUCAGAAUAUAGAGGAAAUUACUUUGAAAAAUAUAAAAUCUAACUAUUAGGGCGCAAAAAAGGAUAAAAAUAGUGAAUUUUUAGACUCUAACUAGGUAAAUGUCCCGUAAACGUAAAAAGAUUCCUCAAUGUUGACCCAGAUCCUUCUUAAAAUCCAACAACUGACUUUUAAACAAUUCUAUUUUUCGUAAAUCAAUUCAUUUUUCUUAUGUCAUAGUUAAUGUAGUUGCUGAUGCACAAGCCAGAAGUGUGCUUCGUCACUACUUCCGUUUUCAGUGAUCAAUCCAAAUUUAUCCCAAGUAAGAAGCCCUUUUAUUUAAAAAAGCUCAAUCUGUAUUGAUAGUUUAAAACGAUAGCUACCAUAUUAUAAUGUUAAAAUUGUCAGUGAAAGCAAAAAAGAAACACAUAAGCCUUUCCCUCCCAAUCAAAAACCAAUUUCUUUAAAUUGAGGCCAAUCUGGUACCGUCAAGAAUCCGAAUGCACGGUGAAGGGAAGUGCGUCGACCAUCUGGAGGAAUGCCGGUUUUUGAUGACCACUUCCUUGGCGACUGCCAUGAUGAGCCGGAAGGACUCUUGCCGCGUUGGUGGUUCGGUGGCUUUGCCUCGAUAUGCGUUGCCUUCGCAGUGGCGCCCAUUGAUAUCGUGAAAACGCACAUGCAGAUCCAAUCAAAAAAACGGACAAUUUUAGGCACGAUCAAAAGAAUAUACACUUUGAAGGGAUACUUGGGCUUCUACGAUGGCUUCUCGGCUGCCAUCCUGAGACAAAUGACCAGCACCAAUAUCCACUUCAUCGUGUAUGAUACUGGCAAGAAAUUGGAGUACUUCGAUAGGGAUUCAUAUGUAGGAAAGAUUAUUUUGGGCUGUGUGGCUGGGGCAUGUGGUUCUGUGUUUGGAAUACCAACGGAUCUGAUUAACGUGCGGAUGCAAACCGACAUGAAGGAGCCGCCGUACAAGCGACCUAUAAGCAUGUCUUCGAUGGCCUCAUCCGAAUUCCCAAGGAGGAGGGCUGGAGGGCACUUUACAAAGGAGGAUCGGUAGCGGUUUUCAAAUCAUCGAUAAGCACUUGCAGCCAGAUAGCAUUCUACGAUAUUAUUAAAACGGAAGUGAGGAAAAAUAUCUCUGUGAAUGACGGAUUGCCCUUGCACUUUCUCACUUCGCUGGGCACUUCGUUCAUUUCGUCUGCG